rnacentral:rRNA from 1 species
AGCUUACCAUGCAAGUCGAACGAGACGGGAUGGAAUGACCCUUCGGGGGAAUGAAAUCCUAGAAAGUGGCGAACGGGUGAGUAACGCGUGGGUAACCUGCCCUAUGGAAAGGAAUAGCCUCGGGAAACUGGGAGUAAUGCCUUAUAAUAUACGAGAGUCGCAUGGCUUUUGUAUUAAACGCUCCGGUGCCAUAGGAUGGACCCGCGUCCCAUUAGCUAGUUGGUGAGAUAACAGCCCACCAAGGCAACGAUGGGUAACCGGUCUGAGAGGGCGAACGGUCACACUGGAACUGAGACACGGUCCAGACUCCUACGGGAGGCAGCAGUGGGGAAUAUUGCGCAAUGGGGGCAACCCUGACGCAGCAAUACCGCGUGAGUGAAGAAGGUUUUCGGAUCGUAAAGCUCUGUUAUUGGGGAAGAAAAAAGACGGUACCCAAGAAGAAAGUCCCGGCUAACUACGUGCCAGCAGCCGCGGUAAUACGUAGGGGACAAGCGUUGUCCGGAUUUACUGGGCGUAAAGGGCACGCAGGCGGUUUUUUAAGUCAGAUGUGAAAGGUACCGGCUCAACCGGUGACAUGCAUUUGAAACUGAAAGACUUGAGUAUUGGAGAGGCAAGUGGAAUUCCUAGUGUAGCGGUGAAAUG